UACGGAGGGUGCAAACGUUGCUCGGAAUCAUUGGGCGUAAAGCGCACGUAGGCGGCCUGUUAAGUCGGAUGUGAAAGCCCCGGGCUCAACCCGGGAAGUGCAUUCGAAACUGGCGGGCUUGAAUAUGGAAGAGGGUCGCGGAAUUCCCGGUGUAGAGGUGAAAUUCGUAGAUAUCGGGAGGAACAUCAGUGGCGAAGGCGGCGACCUGGGCCAAUAUUGACGCUGAGGUGCGAAAGCGUGGGGAGCAAACAGG
rnacentral:rRNA from 1 species